rnacentral:rRNA from 1 species
UACAGGGGGGGCAAGCGUUGUUCGGAAUUACUGGGCGUAAAGGGUCAGUAGGCGGCCAACCAAGUCCGACGUGAAAUCCCAAAGCUUAACUUUGGAACUGCGUCGGAUACUGGAUGGCUUGAAUUCGGGAGAGGGAUGCAGAAUUCCAGGUGUAGCGGUGAAAUGCGUAGAUAUCUGGAGGAAUACCGGUGGCGAAGGCGGCAUCCUGGACCGACAUUGACGCUGAACGACGAAAGCUAGGGGAGCAAACGGG